CUAGAGAGUAGGUGCGUAUCAACUUUUCCAGCUUUGGUUUGUUCAAGAUUUUCCUCCGAAUAUUUCUCUCACCCACUACUGAUGGUGACACCGAGUAGUGAGUACUGAUAGAGAAACACGUAUAGGAGGAGGUGGUAUUGCAUGUUUCCGUUUCAUUUAGAAGAGAGGAGAAGAAGAAAAGAGGGAGACUGGCCGCAGAAAUUCAGGGAUUGUUAUCUGCUCCAUCACAAAUCGCAGACAAAGGAGCAUGGAAGGGAUUCUUCUCACAAAUCGUAGAAAUUCAGGAUUUUAUGUUGCAAGUGAGGCGUUUGUUGAUUGAUGGAUUACAAUAUGCCUCCAUGCUUAGGAACUUGGAGGAAAGAGAAGAGGGAGAAAGGGGAAGGAAGGUUGCAAAUGACCAUGAAUUGAAUUUCAGACAGGAAGUGGAAAGACUUAUACAGUUAUACCAAGGGUCCAGCCAAUGCCUUUGGAGUUGUAGAAAAAAAACUUAUCCAAUUAUCAAGAAGGCUUAACCCCGUGUUUUUGAGAGAUUCUUUGCCCACCUAAAAAGCUUAUCCAAUUAUCAAGCUGAUUCUCUUUUUUGUAGCUCAUUGAAGCUUAUAGCAUAUUAUUGUAGUCCUAAUUUGUGCUUUUGCAUUUCCUUAAUACGAG